rnacentral:rRNA from 1 species
GAACGCCCUCUUCGGAGGGAGUGGCAGACGGGUGAGUAACACGUGGGAACCUACCUAGGGGUACGGAAUAACUCGGGGAAACUCGUGCUAAUACCGUAUACGACCCAAGGGUGAAAGAUUUAUCGCCCCUAGAUGGGCCCGCGCUGGAUUAGCUAGUUGGUGGGGUAAAAGCCUACCAAGGCGACGAUCCAUAGCUGGUCUGAGAGGAUGAUCAGCCACACUGGGACUGAGACACGGCCCAGACUCCUACGGGAGGCAGCAGUGGGGAAUCUUGGACAAUGGGGGAAACCCUGAUCCAGCCAUGCCGCGUGAGUGAUGAAGGCCUUAGGGUUGUAAAGCUCUUUCGCCAGGGAAGAUAAUGACGGUACC